rnacentral:lncRNA from 1 species
CCAUAUAAUUUAAUUUGUAAAAUUUAAUAAUUUAACUACAAAUUAAUUAUUCAAACCCACAAAUUGUAACACCCCGGAAAAUACAUCUAACUAUUACAAUACAGGUUCUACUUAUUUCUAUACAAGCAUAAAGUUUUUCAAAACAUUCCUAAUACAUGAUUAUGACAUAUAGAAAUACAAAUAUUUACAAUAUAAGUUUCAUAAUCAACGCCCUAAAACUCUUCUGAUCCUCAGACACCUGUAAGAUCAUCUGCUCGUGUACGUAGUACAGUCAUCGCAGUUCAAACACAACAAGAAAAGCAAGGGUAAGCUAGUGAAAAUAGAAUUUUAUAAUAUACACAAUUAAAUCAAAAGAGAAAACCAAGUUACACGAUCAAUUUCUCAAAUUAUUUAAUCUUCUUCAAAUCUCAACAAUAAAACAAUCACAUAGAUCUCACAUGGAUCUACACAUCCAGAAUAUUCAACAAACAACAUCUUCCGGAAGACCCGUAUUAAGUAAGUCCUACCAGAGACUAACACCUGAUCCAAAGAUUACCAGCGAAUCCAACAGAAAGGAUCAGGAUAAGUUCAAUACAACCCAAGCUGUGCAUGUCAUAUGUCACGGUGUGCAUGAACUCCCCCAUCAGCUUCUCACCACCUGAUAUCUUAGUCUAUGUGACUUAGAUCAUUAGUGAAGCUCGGAGAUCUCUGUUACCACAUAGGCAUCAAUACUUAAUACACAACAAACAUCAGUCCAUACAUUAUCCCAAAUGUAUGAAUUCAAUUCCAUACCAUCCCGUCAUACAAUAUCAUCCCAAACACGAUCCACAACAUUCAAAAACGUAAUUAACAUAAAAAAAAACAACACUUAAAUAUUAAACCAUCAAAAUAUAAUAUUUUUACAAAUUUAAAUAAUAUAUAAACAAACAACCCAAUAUAUAUAACACACAACAUCCCUGCAAGAAGAAUUGAAUAUUGGGACCACGUCCCUUCCGCAUUCAGAUCUUCUAUCCUAGGGUGCUAUUAAAAAUUAAAUUAAGCUUCCCUUACCUCAAUUGCUUGCUUUCCAAGCAAAUUUUAGAAUUUUAUUCCCCACCGUUUGGAUAAGCUUCAAGAUUUACGGGCCUAAUGCAAAUUAUCCAAACAGAACAAAAUUUCAGUAUAUAAUAUAAUAAGUUGAGAGGAUUAAACUUCUCAACUGACCCCACCAAGAUUGAUGACUAAAUCCUAAGGAAAAACAGAGAACAAAGGAUAUUUAGAGUAAAAAUGAACUUACUCUGUUUGAAAAUCUGAUCGGGUAGAAAUGUUCCUUAACUCCUCAGCUACAGCGUGGUAUGAUCAGAUUCUAAAAUAGAUGAAGAUUGGGAGAGAAAACUAAGAGAGAGAGAAAAGAAUAUGAAAAGAGAGAAAUGGAGAUAAGGAAGAAAAAGAAGAAGAAAGAAUUUGUGCGGGGGCUCUGUAUUUUUUUUUAACGCUGUUACACAAAUU